UGCCGCUGUGCCCGUGGACAUAUAAACGGUCGCGUGACCCUAACCGUGCCGAGGUAACGUAAUCAUUUGUCUACUACUUAUAGACCUGAAUGAAAGGAAUGAUGAGGGUCCAACUGUCUCUUAUCAUAAAUCCCUUAAACUGAUCUCCUAUGACAGAAGCUACAAUUCCCUCAUAAAACCAGAAGACCCUGUGAGCUUAAACUAAACUAUUAAACCACAUAAUAACUACUUUCGGUUGGGGCGACCUUGGAAAAAAAAAAAACUUCCUCUACAUGAAUUUACCUCUAACACUACCAAGGCCUACUACCCACUAAAUGACCCACUGAGCUGAUAAAUGAACCAAGUUACUCCAGGGAUAACAGCUUCUUCUUCUUCAAGAAUCCAUAUCAAAACCAAGGUUUACGACCUCGAUGUUGGAUCCCGACAUCCUAAUGGUGCUAUCGCUAUUACAGGUGCGCUCGUACAACGAUUACCAGUCCUACGAGACCUGAGUCAGG
rnacentral:rRNA from 1 species